rnacentral:rRNA from 1 species
AUUGACCGCUGGCGGCAGGCCUAACACAUGCAAGUCGAACGAGUGGCGGACGGGUGAGUAAUGUCCGGGAAACUGCUCGAUGGAGGGGGAUAACUACUGGAAACGGUAGCUAAUACCGCAUACCAUUGGAUGUGCCCAGAUGGGAGUAGCUAGGAGGUGGGGUAACGGCUACCCUAGGCGAAGAUGCCUAGCUGGUCGGAGAGGAUGACCAGCCACACUGGAACUGAGACACGGUCCAGACUCCUACGGGAGGCAGCAGUGGGGAAUAUUGCACAAUGGGCGCAAGCCUUAUGCAGCCAUGCCGCGUGUAUGAAGAAGGCCUUCGGGUUGUAAAGUACUUUCAGCGAGGAGGCGUUACUCGCAGAAGAAGCACCGGCUAACUCCGUGCCAGCAGCCGCGGUAAUUC